rnacentral:tRNA from 1 species
GGUAAAAUGGCCGAGAAGAAGCAUUAGACUGUAAAUCUAAAGACAGAGGUGACCCCUCUUUUUACCA